UACGAAGGGGGCUAGCGUUGCUCGGAAUCACUGGGCGUAAAGCGCACGUAGGCGGAUUGUUAAGUCAGGGGUGAAAUCCUGGAACUCAACUCCAGAACUGCCUUUGAUACUGACGGUCUUGAGUCCGGGAGAGGUGAGUGGAACUCCGAGUGUAGAGGUGAAAUUCGUAGAUAUUCGGAAGAACACCAGUGGCGAAGGCGGCUCACUGGCCCGGUACUGACGCUGAGGUGCGAAAGCGUGGGGAGCAAACAGG
rnacentral:rRNA from 1 species